GAUGAACGCUGGCGGCGUGCUUAACACAUGCAAGUCGAACGGAAAGGCCGAAGCUUGCUUCGGUACUCGAGUGGCGAACGGGUGAGUAACACGUGGGUGAUCUGCCCUGUACUUCGGGAUAAGCUUGGGAAACUGGGUCUAAUACCGGAUAUGACGAUCUCUUGGAUGGGGUUGUGGAAAGCUUUUGCGGUAUGGGAUGAGCUCGCGGCCUAUCAGCUUGUUGGUGGGGUAAUGGCCUACCAAGGCGUCGACGGGUAGCCGGCCUGAGAGGGUGUACGGCCACAUUGGGACUGAGAUACGGCCCAGACUCCUACGGGAGGCAGCAGUGGGGAAUAUUGCACAAUGGGCGCAAGCCUGAUGCAGCGACGCCGCGUGGGGGAUGAGGGCCUUCGGGUUGUAAACUCCUUUCGCAAUCGACGAAGCCUUUUGGUGACGGUAGGUUGAGAAGAAGCACCGGCUAACUACGUG
rnacentral:rRNA from 1 species